rnacentral:rRNA from 1 species
UGGCACUAGAAGCCGAUGAAGGACGUUACUAACGACGAUAUGCUUUGGGUAGCUGUAAGUAAGCGUUGAUCCAGAGAUUUCCGAAUGGGGGAACCCAGCAUGAGUUAUGUCAUGUUAUCGAUAUGUGAAUUUAUAGCAUGUCAGAAGGCAGACCCGGAGAACUGAAACAUCUUAGUACCCGGAGGAAGAGAAAGAAAAAUCGAUUCCCUGAGUAGCGGCGAGCGAAACGGGAAGAGCCCAAAC